GCAGACACAUUCCAGCCAAUCAGCAGCAGACCCUCCCUCCCAGACCCUCCCAUCUCCUGGACAGCUCACUAAGAAUGCAGCUUCACAAUGAAUGUAAAAUGGAUGCUGUCCAGGAGGUGGGAGGGUCUGGGAGGGAGGGUCUGCUGCUGAUUGGCUGGAAUGUGUCUG
rnacentral:miRNA from 1 species